rnacentral:lncRNA from 1 species
UCACCUUAUUUGAAAGUGGGAUAACUUCUUCAUCCAAACUCCUAUGAGAUUUAUUCAACUUCCUGGUGAUUCUCCACUAUUUUUUGUAUCCAAAUGAAGGUUCUUACAUCGCGAUUCAUCCUGGUUUGAUUAGAAUGACGAAGAAGUUGUCAUAUUCCCAAACAGAGAAAAUGGGAUCACCUUAUUUGAAAGUGAGAUAACUUCUUCAUCCUAACUCCU